rnacentral:rRNA from 1 species
GCCGGCAGCUAGCUCUCUGCAACUCUCACAUGGUCGCCCACUGAAGCUAAGCAGGGCUGCGCCCGGUCAGUACCUGGAUGGGAGACCUCUUGGGAAAGCUAGGUUGCUGCCGGAA